rnacentral:rRNA from 1 species
UACGGAGGGUGCGAGCGUUAAUCGGAAUUACUGGGCGUAAAGCGCGCGUAGGUGGUUUGAUAAGUCGGAUGUGAAAGCCCUGGGCUCAACCUGGGAAUUGCAUUCGAUACUGUCUGACUCGAGUAUGGUAGAGGGAAGCGGAAUUCCCGGUGUAGCGGUGAAAUGCGUAGAUAUCGGGAGGAACAUCAGUGGCGAAGGCGGCUUCCUGGACCAAUACUGACACUGAGGCGCGAAAGCGUGGGGAGCAAACAGG